rnacentral:rRNA from 1 species
GAUGAACGCUGGCGGCGGGCCUAAUACAUGCAAGUCGAGCGGAAGGACGAUAAACUUGCUUCUCUGAUGUUAGCGGCGGACGGGUGAGUAACACGUGGAUAACCUACCUAUAAGACUGGGAUAACUUCGGGAUACCGGAGCUAAUACCGGAUGAUAUUUUGCACCGCAUGGUUCAAAAGUGAAAGACGGUCUUGCUGUCACUUAUGGAUGGAUACGCGUUGGAUUAGCUAGUUGGUAGGGUAGCGGCUUACCAAGGCAACGAUGCGUAGCGGAUCUGAGAGGAAGGUACACCACAUUGGAACCGCGGCACGGUCCACACUGCUAGGGGAGGCAGGAGUGAGGAAUAUUAGGCACUGGACGGAAGUCUGAAACAGCCAAGUAGCGUGCAGGAUGACGGCGCUAUGGGUUGUAAGCUGCUUUUGUAUGGGGAUAAAGUUAGGGACGGGGCCCUAUUUGCAGGUACCAUACGAAUAAGGACCGGCUAAUUCCGUG